rnacentral:rRNA from 1 species
AUGAAAGGAGUAUGGCAACUGAAGGUCCGCCAUGUGUAUGCAUCUUAUCUACGUCAACAGGAGAAUGGAAAACUUAAGAGUGUCUUUCUCCCUGAUGAUCUUACUUCCUGGAAUUGGGACAUCCAUACAGUGCUUGCAAAUGAAAAUAGUUUUUGGUGGGUGGAUUUGUGCUGUGGAAUCCUCUCUUAUGAUCUUGACCAGCACCAAUCUGCUCUUGGGUUCAUCCCAAUUCCAACAGCAUGUUUAGAGGAUGGGUACAGACAAGAUCGUUUUGUCAGCAUCAGCACAGGAGAACUUAGGUUUGUCCAUAUCUUUAGGAAAGACGAUCUUUUCUGUGAUUAUGGUAUCAAGUCACAGCAGUGUGAAGAUUAUGUCAAGACUUGGAGUUGGAGAGAUGGGCGGUGGAUUGAAGAGUACGAGAUGAAAUUUGCAGAUUUUUGGGAGGGCACAAGCUAUUCUUCAAGUCGUCUACCGAAGUUUGUACCAGCAUAUUCUACUGUUGAUCCUUGUAAUCAUAAUCUAGUACUUUUACUUACCAACUGGCCAACAUUUUGA